rnacentral:rRNA from 1 species
GCCCUUCGCAAAUUACCCACUCUCAGAACAUUGAGGAGGUAGUGUCGAAAAAUAACGAGACCGAUCUCUAUGAGGCCGGUCAUCGGAAUGGGUACAAUCUAAACCCUUUAACGAGUAUCUAUGANAGGGCAAGUCUGGUGCCAGCAGCCGCGGUAAUUCCAGCUCUCAAAAUGCAUAGAAUUAUUGCUGCGGUUAAAAAGCUCGUAGUUGGAUCUGUGCUAGGGACUCGGUCCACCUUCUGGGUGCGUACUGAGCUCCUUGGCUUGAACUGUCGGUUCGUCCGUUCGUGGCCUUUACUGGUUGCGUUCGGUGGCUGACGAUUUUACUUUGAACAAAUCAGAGUGCUUAAUACAGGCGUUUCGCUUGAAUGUUCUUGCAUGGAAUAAUAAGAAAAGGAUUUCGGUUCUAUUUUAUUGGUUUUAUAGACUGAGAUAAUGGUUAACAGAGACAAACGGGGGCAUUCGUAUCGCUGCGUGAGAAGUGAAAUUCUUGGACCCGCAGCGAGACGAACUACAGCGAAAGCAUUUGCCNANAAAUAUCUUUUUAAUCAAAGAACCAAAGUCANAGGUUCGAAGGCGAUCAGAUACCGCCCUNNUUCUUGACCNGUAAACCGANUGCCNACUAGCCGAUNCCCCCNGGGGGAUUUUUUUGCCCUUGGNGGGGGAGCUUCCCNGGAAACCAAANUUUUUCCCGGUNCCCGGGGGGAAAGNNUUGGUUGCAAAACNU